AGGGCGAAUUAGCGGCGGAGGGUGAGUACACGUGGGUAACCUGCCUGUAAGACUGGGAUAACUCCGGGAAACCGGAGCUAAUACCGGAUAGUUCCUUGAACCGCAUGGUUCAAGGAUGAAAGACGGUUUCGGCUGUCACUUACAGAUGGACCCGCGGCGCAUUAGCUAGUUGGUGAGGUAACGGCUCACCAAGGCGACGAUGCGUAGCCGACCUGAGAGGGUGAUCGGCCACACUGGGACUGAGACACGGCCCAGACUCCUACGGGAGGCAGCAGUAGGGAAUCUUCCGCAAUGGACGAAAGUCUGACGGAGCAACGCCGCGUGAGUGAUGAAGGUUUUCGGAUCGUAAAGCUCUGUUGUUAGGGAAGAACAAGUGCAAGAGUAACUGCUUGCACCUUGACGGUACCUAACCAGAAAGCCACGGCUAACUACGUGCCAGCAGCCGCGGUAAUACGUAGGUGGCAAGCGUUGUCCGGAAUUAUUGGGCGUAAAGGGCUCGCAGGCGGUUUCUUAAGUCUGAUGUGAAAGCCCCCGGCUCAACCGGGGAGGGUCAUUG
rnacentral:rRNA from 1 species